UGGGGAAUAUUGGACAAUGGGCGCAAGCCUGAUCCAGCCAUGCCGCGUGAGUGAUGAAGGCCCUAGGGUUGUAAAGCUCUUUAACCGGUGAAGAUAAUGACGGUAACCGGAGAAGAAGCCCCGGCUAACUUCGUGCCAGCAGCCGCGGUAAUACGAAGGGGGCUAGCGUUGUUCGGAUUUACUGGGCGUAAAGCGCACGUAGGCGGACUUUUAAGUCAGGGGUGAAAUCCCGGGGCUCAACCCCGGAACUGCCUUUGAUACUGGAAGUCUUGAGUAUGGUAGAGGUGAGUGGAAUUCCGAGUGUAGAGGUGAAAUUCGUAGAUAUUCGGAGGAACACCAGUGGCGAAGGCGGCUCACUAGACCAUUACUGACGCUGAGGUGCGAAAGCGUGGGGAGCAAACAGG
rnacentral:rRNA from 1 species